UACGUAGGGGGCGAGCGUUGUCCGGAUUUAUUGGGCGUAAAAGAGCUCGUAGGCGGUUUGGUAAGUCGGGUGUGAAAUCUCCACGCUCAACGUGGAGGGGCCACUCGAUACUGCCAUGACUCGAGUCCGGUGAGAGGAGUGUGGAAUUCCCGGUGUAGCGGUGAAAUGCGCAGAUAUCAGGAGGAACACCAGCGGCGAAGGCGGCGCUCUGGGCCGGUACUGACGCUGAGGAGCGAAAGCGUGGGGAUCAAACAGG
rnacentral:rRNA from 1 species